rnacentral:rRNA from 1 species
UACGUAGGUCCCGAGCGUUGUCCGGAUUUAUUGGGCGUAAAGCGAGCGCAGGUGGUUUAUUAAGUCUGGUGUAAAAGGCAGUGGCUCAACCAUUGUAUGCAUUGGAAACUGGUAGGCUUGAGUGCAGGAGAGGAGAGUGGAAUUCCAUGUGUAGCGGUGAAAUGCGUAGAUAUAUGGAGGAACACCGGUGGCGAAGGCGGCUCUCUGGCCUGUAACUGACACUGAGGCUCGAAAGCGUGGGGAGCAAACAGG